UACGCCCAUAUCAUUUUGAAACAUCGGUUCUCGUACGAUCACUGAAGUUAAGUAACGUCGAACCUUGUCAGUACAUAGAUGGGUGACCGCUUGAGAAUACCAGGUGU